rnacentral:rRNA from 1 species
UAUACAUGAGCAAAAUCUCAACUUUAUUAGAAGAGACGCAUUUAUUAGAUAAAAAGCCAGUUCAUGCUUUUACAGUAUGAAAAUUGGUGAUUUAUAAUAACUUAGCAAAUCGCAAAGUGAAAACAGGCGAUAAAUCAUUCAAGUUUCUGACCUAUCAGCUUUCGACGGUAUGGUAUUGGCUUACCGUGGCAGUGACGGUUAACGGGGGAUUAGGGUUCGAUUCCGGAGAGGGAGCCUGAGAAACGGCUACCACAUCUAAGGAAGGCAGCAGGCGCGCAAAUUACCCAAUUCUAACAGUUUGAGAGAGGUCGUACCAAGAAAUAACAAUACAAGGCAGUUAAAAUGCUUUGUAAUUGGAAUGAUAGAAAUUUAAACCCUUUUUAAAGUAUCAAUUGGAGGGCAAGUCUGGUGCCAGCAGCCGCGGUAAUUCCAGCUCCAAUAGCGUAUAUUAAAAUUGUUGCAGUUAAAAAGCUCGUAGUUGAAGUUCUGCUGAAAGUAACCGGUCUGCUUUUAAUAAAAGUGGUAUCUUGGUAUGUAUUUAGCAUGAUGUCCUUUGAAGUGUUUUUUACUUUAUUGUAAUAAAGCAUAUUCAGGACUUUUACUUUGAGAAAAUUAGAGUGUUUCUAGCAGGCUAACGCUUUGAAUACUGCANCAUGGAAUAAUAAGA